rnacentral:ncRNA from 1 species
GCAGAGUAGGAAUAUGUGCGUUAAGUGCCGUGCGGACGGGGAGUUGCCGCAUGGACGAAGGAAGAGCCGGAAAAGCCUUCCGCGGUAUAUGUUCCGCAUCCCGCUGC